GUCAAUGUGGCUCAGUUGGUAGAGCAUUGCACUUAUAAUGCAAAUGUUGUGGGUUUUAAUCUCAGAGGAAGCA